GCUCAGGACGAACGCUGGCGGCGUGCCUAAUACAUGCAAGUCGGGCGGACCGAAGGGAGCUUGCUCCUUUAGGUUAGCGGCGGACGGGUGAGUAACACGUGGGCAACCUGCCCUGCAGACUGGGAUAACUUCGGGAAACCGGAGCUAAUACCGGAUAACACCGAAAACCGCAUGGUUUUCGGUUGAAAGGCGGCUUUUAGCUGUCACUGCAGGAUGGGCCCGCGGCGCAUUAGCUAGUUGGUGAGGUAACGGCUCACCAAGGCGACGAUGCGUAGCCGACCUGAGAGGGUGACCGGCCACACUGGGACUGAGACACGGCCCAGACUCCUACGGGAGGCAGCAGUA
rnacentral:rRNA from 1 species